rnacentral:rRNA from 1 species
GUCGAACGGAAAGGCCCUUCGGGGUACUCGAGUGGCGAACGGGUGAGUAACACGUGGGUGAUCUGCCCUGCACUUUGGGAUAAGCCUGGGAAACUGGGUCUAAUACCGAAUACACCCUGCUGGUCGCAUGGCCUGGUGGGGGAAAGCUUUUGCGGUGUGGGAUGGGCCCGCGGCCUAUCAGCUUGUUGGUGAGGUUACGGCUCACCAAGGCGACGACGGGUAGCCGGCCUGAGAGGGUGACCGGCCACACUGGGACUGAGAUACGGCCCAGACUCCUACGGGAGGCAGCAGUGGGGAAUAUUGCACAAUGGGCGCAAGCCUGAUGCAGCGACGCCGCGUGGGGGAUGACGGCCUUCGGGUUGUAAACCUCUUUCAGUAGGGACGAAGCGCAAGUGACGGUACCUACAGAAGAAGGACCGGCCAACUACGUGCCAGCAGCCGCGGUAAUACGUAGGGUCCGAGCGUUGUCCGGAAUUACUGGGCGUAAAGAGCUCGUAGGUGGUUUGUCGCGUUGUUCGUGAAAACCGGGGGCUUAACCCUCGGCGUGCGGGCGAUACGGGCAGACUUGAGUACUGCAGGGGAGACUGGAAUUCCUGGUGUAGCGGUGGAAUGCGCAGAUAUCAGGAGGAACACCGGUGGCGAAGGCGGGUCUCUGGGCAGUAACUGACGCUGAGGAGCGAAAGCGUGGGGAGCGAACAGGAUUAGAUACCCUGGUAGUCCACGCCGUAAACGGUGGGUACUAGGUGUGGGUUUCCUUCCUUGGGAUCCGUGCCGUAGCUAACGCAUUAAGUACCCCGCCUGGGGAGUACGGCCGCAAGGCUAAAACUCAAAGAAAUUGACGGGGGCCCGCACAAGCGGCGGAGCAUGUGGAUUAAUUCGAUGCAACGCGAAGAACCUUACCUGGGUUUGACAUGCACAGGACGCUGGUAGAGAUAUCAGUUCCCUUGUGGCCUGUGUGCAGUGGUGCAUGGCUGUCGUCAGCUCGUGUCGUGAGAUGUUGGGGUAAGUCCCGCAACGAGCGCAACCCUUGUCUCAUGUUGCAGCACGUUAUGGUGGGGACUCGUGAGAGACUG